AUGGCGGCCACCCCGGAGUCCCACGAGACGGAGAAAAAGCCCUUCAAGCUCCUAGGUAUUUUAGAUGUUGAGAACACUCCAUGUGCUCGAGAAUCUACCUCUAUGGCUCAUUAGGAUCUAUUGUGACUGGACUUGGACAUUUCUUGGUGACCAUAGAAUUAGAAGAUCACGUGAUGUUGGAGUAGGAGGAUUUAUCCUGGUGACUUUAGGAUGCUGGUUCCACUGUAGGUAUAAUUUUGCUAAGCAGAGGAUCCAGGAAAGAAUUGCCAGAGAAGGAAUAAAAAAAUAAGAUUUUAUAUGAAAGCACCCAUCUUGAUCCUGAAAGAAAAAUGAAGACCAAUAACAGCAGCUAA
rnacentral:lncRNA from 1 species